rnacentral:rRNA from 1 species
UACGGGGGGAGCAAGCGUUGUUCGGAUUUACUGGGCGUAAAGGGCGCGUAGGCGGCCUCUGCAAGUCGACUGUGAAAUCUCCGGGCUUAACCCGGAAAGGUCAGCCGAUACUGCAGGGCUAGAGUGCAGAAGGGGCAACUGGAAUUCUCGGUGUAGCGGUGAAAUGCGUAGAUAUGUGGAGGAACACCGAUGGCGAAGGCAGCCUUCUGGGCCAACACUGACGCUCAUGCACGAAAGCGUGGGGAGCAAACAGG